rnacentral:lncRNA from 1 species
ACAUAUCCGUAUGUGUAUGUGUGUGUGUAAAGAGAGAGAGAGACAGAGAGAGAAAGAGAAGAGGGAAGGAGGGAGAGAGAGAGAAAGCACACACGGUAAGCUGUUGCGAUGUUACCAUGUAGGGGAUCUGAAUAAAGGGUAUCCAGGCAUUCUCUGUACUCUUCCUGCAAAUUCGCUCAAAGUCUGAAACUAGGUCAAAAUGACACAAUACAAAAGACCUUCCAGGGAGAAGCCCGGCUGGCUACCGUCGUCCCUCGAGCGGUCGGGUGGGCUCCCGCCUGGGGUCUGCCAGCCCCCGAGGGGAGCCUUUGACGCCCCGCGGACACCGGGCGGACAGAGGGCCGCUGGGCCAAUCUGACCCUCAGUGUCGCCCCCUCUGUGCCCUGUCCCACCGACAAGGACAGAGCAGCUUCUUCUUCAAAGCCCAUCUGCGUGAGCCACAGCGCCUCCCGGGACCGCCGUUCAAAGUGAUGCUGGGGAAGGGAUGCUCGGCCCGUGUUUGGCCUGGGGAUUUGAGCGGAUUACCAGGGCCCAGUGCUGCAGGCGGCGGGGAACCGGGGCCUCAGGUGCGAGAGGCCUUUGAUGACCGCCAGCUCUUUAGAGGCCCAAACAAAUUGAGGACAAACCAGCUGGGCUGCCCGGGAGGGGGCUGGCUGUUGACUCUUUCUUUCCAGCCUUAGGAAAACAAAUACUUGAUAUUCCAAAGGCUGAGUAAACUCAUUAAAAGGAUCUUGAACUUCCUGCCUUUUCGGGAAGCCCGCUUCCAGGGAGCGGAGGAGCCGUGAGGCGGGCGUCCUCUGUCCUGAGCGGUGGCUGCUGCCUCUUGCUUGCCCCUCAGAGCCCAGACCUCAGCCACGAAUCCUUCCCCACGCAUGGCUGGGGGGGGGGGGCGCUUCUCGCCUGCCCCCUCAUUGGUCUUGUUUCUGGUCCAGGUCAUUCUGAUACUAACUCAGGGGGUCCAGGCCUUAGAAACCUCAGCCUUCUUGCAUUGCCUGCUUUGGGUCACCGCAGGGGCAAGACAGAUGGCUGCGUGCGCCUGGCUGCCAUCAUGCUGCUCAGAGACGCUGUUGCGAAUGUCUGGGUAAUUACUUCAGGGGACACCACUAAGCCUUCUCCUCUUUGCAAUGAUUCCGGCUGCUUCUUCCUCUUUGGCCCUCAUCCCUUCUCUGCCUCUGCACUCGACCACCGCGAUGACAGAGGCCUCAUGAGUAGACCACCCCUCACAGAUGUUGGCUGGGAUCACCUCUCCGCCCACCUUUCCGUGAAGAGCCGACUAACCAUGCGCUCGGGGGCAGUUCCAGAGCAGGAUGAGACCAUCUCGUAGGUCCCUUCCUGCUGUAACAUUCUCAGAGCUUCUGAGCAAAGGACAAAUGUCGAGGCGCGUGAGUUCACGUCGGAUGCGCCUAUCCCAGGAGACCCUGAGCGGCCCCGCAUUUACUGAGUGCAGACCAUGUACAAGACACGGGUUGGGUGCUGGGGACGCAGCAGCGAACACCACUGGCCAGACCAGCGGUGCACCGGAGCCAGCUCACAGCAGCUCACAAGAACCACUCAUUAAAUUUUCAGGAAUUUUGCCUGCCAGUUGUUAAACAUAAUCCUUAAUAAAAAAAAUAAAUGAGGGGCCCGCCCA